UACGGAGGGUGCAAGCGUUAUCCGGAUUCACUGGGUUUAAAGGGUGCGUAGGUGGGCAAGUAAGUCAGUGGUGAAAUCUCCGGGCUUAACCCGGAAACUGCCAUUGAUACUAUUUGUCUUGAAUACUGUGGAGGUCAGCGGAAUAUGUCAUGUAGCGGUGAAAUGCUUAGAUAUGACAUAGAACACCAAUUGCGAAGGCAGCUGGCUACACAAUUAUUGACACUGAGGCACGAAAAGCGUGGGGGAUCAAACAGG
rnacentral:rRNA from 1 species